rnacentral:rRNA from 1 species
GUGCUUGGGCGAGAGUAGUACUAGGAUGGGUGAACUCCUGGGAAGUCCUCGUGUUGCACCCCU